rnacentral:rRNA from 1 species
UGGGGAAUCUUGGACAAUGGGGGAAACCCUGAUCCAGCGACGCCGCGUGAGUGAUGAAGGCCUUCGGGUCGUAAAGCUCUGUCGGGAGGGACGAUGGGUGAACGGGAAUAAUACCCCGGUCAUUUGACGGUACCUCGCAAGAAAGCACCGGCUAACUCUGUGCCAGCAGCCGCGGUAAUACAGAGGGUGCCAGCGUUGUUCGGAAUCACUGGGCGUAAAGCGCGUGUAGGCGGUUUUCUAAGUCAGGUGUGAAAUCCCCCAGCUUAACUGGGGAAGUGCGCCUGAAACUGGGAGGCUUGAGUAUCGGAGAGGGUAGGGGAAUUCCCGGUGUAGAGGUGAAAUUCGUAGAUAUCGGGAGGAACACCGGUGGCGAAGGCGCCUACCUGGACGGUAACUGACGCUGAGACGCGAAAGCGUGGGUAGCAAACAGGAUUAGAUACCCGCGUAGUCC